GAUGAACGCUAGCUACAGGCUUAACACAUGCAAGUCGAGGGACCGGCGCACGGGUGAGUAACACGUAUCCAACCUGCCCUUUACUCGGGUCUAGCCUUUCGAAAGACAGAUUAAUACCAUAUGUAAAGGAUGGUGAUGCGGUCCAUUAGGUUGUUGGUGAGGUAACGGCACACCAAGCCUUCGAUGGAUAGGGGUUCUGAGAGGAAGGUCCCCCACAUUGGAACUGGGACACGGUCCAAACUCCGACGAGAGGCAGCAGUGAGGAAUAUUGGUCAAUGGGCGUUAGCCUGAACCAGCCAAGUAGCGUGAAGGAUGAAGGCUUAUGGGUCGUAAACUUCUUUUAUAUAAGAAUAUGUAUUAGAUGAAUAAGGAUCGGCUAACUCCGUGCCAGCAGCCGCGGUAAUAC
rnacentral:rRNA from 1 species